rnacentral:misc_RNA from 1 species
AACGGUCUAUACCUGCGGUACCUGCGGAGGGAUCAUUAUCAAUUUACAGCGGACUUCGGUCCUGUCUGCACCCUUGUCUUUUGCGUACUAUAUAUUUCCUCGGUGGGCUUGCCUGCCGAUAGGACACUUAUAAACUCUUUUGUAAUUGCAAUCAGCGUCAGAAAACUAUAAUAGUUACAACUUUCAACAAUGGAUCUCU